AGAUUGAACGCUGGCGGCAUGCCUUACACAUGCAAGUCGAACGGCAGCACGGGAGCAAUCCUGGUGGCGAGUGGCGAACGGGUGAGUAAUAUAUCGGAACGUGCCCAGUCGUGGGGGAUAACGCAGUGAAAGCUGUGCUAAUACUGCAUACGAUCUAUGGAUGAAAGCGGGGGACUCGCAAGAGCCUCGCGCGAUUGGAGCGGCCGAUAUCAGAUUAGCUAGUUGGUGGGGUAAAAGCCCACCAAGGCGACGAUCUGUAGCUGGUCUGAGAGGACGACCAGCCACACUGGAACUGAGACACGGUCCAGACUCCUACGGGAGGCAGCAGUGGGAAUUUUGGACAAUGGGCGCAAGCCUGAUCCAGUCAAUGCCGCGUGCAGAUGAAGGCUUCGGUGUAACUGCUUUGAGUAACGAAAGUCUUACUAAUACAGGCCAUGACGUACCGUAAGAAUAAGACACCGCUAA
rnacentral:rRNA from 1 species